UUUGGAAUCAAGUAGGCUUGGCAUUUAAUGCCAAAGCCCACGUUUGGCCCAUGGUCUAAAACAAUGGGAUUAAGAGAGGGGGUAAAUGGGCGGUUUAAUUUUUUUACAAAAUAAAAAAAAAAAAAAAAAACCUCUUUCCUCUUAAUUUCUUCUCAAUCUUUCAUUGCCUCUCUCCCAUCUCUUCUUCUUUGUGCAUCAAACCCUAGCCGCUCUUCAUCUCCUCGCGUCUUCGUCUCUUCUAAUUUCUCUUCUGUCUCUUUUUUUUUUCUCAUACAAAGAAGCAAGAUGUCAAGAACAAGGAUAUAUGGAAGUUCCUACGGUAUCUACUCCAAGAAAGAGAAGUUGGAGCUUGAAGGUGAUCAAUACAAGUGUAAGUUAUAUCUACACUUAGUUUCUCUUUUGGAAUUUUUUUUUUCACGAUGACUAACUUAAUUUUGUGAUGUUUCUUUUUUGUGUCUUCCCUUUGAAAAUACAUCACAAUUUUAGUUAAGGCACAAAAACAAUGCUCCUAACCCAUUUUUCACUUACGAAUCUAAUAAUAAUGAUUUAACAUUAUAUUUCAUGUGUACAUUGCAUUAACAUUAUAUUGAUCUUGAAUUUUUAGUUAUGUGAAGCUUAGAUGUUCAUUAACCAUUUAUUUUAAAACAUCAAAGUUUAAUUUUUUAUUCAUUUGCAAUUGUGGAACAUUUUGGUUAUCUGUUUGUUUUAAAACAUCAAGUUUUGAUAUUUUGAUUACUUUUCUAAAUCAAGGUUUAUAAAUAAGUUUGUGUAGUCUUAGUGUUUGAGUUUUAAAAUAUUUUGGUAUCUUGAUUUGUUUAUUUGUUAGUUGAGAAAUUUAAUUUUGACAAAACUGAUUUGAUAGUGGAUAAAACUGAUUUGAUAGUGUUGACAAUUUGACAGUGGAAAAUAGUUGAGAGGGAUUUAAAUUUAGAAAUCUUAUUUUUAUUUAUAUAUGGGAUAGUUGUAUUUGUAUUAAAAAAAUUUAAUGCUUACUUUUGGUAGUUGAGGCAUUUAAUUUUUGGAAAUCUUUAUUUUAUUUUAUUUGUAUAUAAUGCAUAGUAAUUAUUAUUUUUUUUCAUUUAUCAAUGGUGGUUGAGUGAUUUGAAAGGAAAAAUUUAUUAGUUCACACACCCAUUUGUUUUAAAUAGAGCAUUUCUCCCUCAUUUCUAAACACACAACCUCUUUGUUUUGUUUCUAAAAUUUACUUUCUUUGAGGUUGAGGUCAUAACAUGCUCCCAUAUCUUUGAGUGGUAACUAUUUUACAUUUAUUUUAUAUAGACUUUGUUUUAUAUAUAUUAUUUUUUUUCUCAUACUAUUAUUUUCCUUCUUUUUCCAUUGUUCAUUGAUAUUUUGUUUGGGUAUGUAUAUUUUACUUUGUUAAUGUGGAUUUUUCUUUUUACUUUGUUAAUGUGGUUUUUACUUUGUUUUCCAACUACCAAGAAGUAAGUUCAAUUAUAUUAGUUCCACUUAUCUCAUCUCAUUGACCGUUCUAUUUUGUUUUUUUUUUAAGGUUUGUCUUAGCCUUGUCUUGCAUAAUCACACCAUUACGUAAUGUGCUCUUUUCUUUUCUAUAUUUGUAUAUGGACUUUUGUGUUUUUUAUUUCUUUGUUACUACAUUUAUGUUUUGUAUAUUAUGAUUGUGUUAUAUUUGUCAAAUUAUUUAGUUUAACUUUUGAGAAUACUGUGAAAUUUAAUUUGUAAUAUUAUCUUUUUCUUUUUAAGUUAAUUUAUAUUGUUCAUUUGUUGUGAUAAAAUAUAAGGGUUACACGCAUUGCUUGACUACCCAGCAGAAUGGAAGUAUAGAAAAUGCAUGCGUAUCUUAGGAAGGCAACCAUAACCUUAACUAAAGUAACUUUACUUGAUUUUCACUUUUGUUUGAGCCUUUGGUUGCUUACUUUUGAAACGAACUAGACCCCUUGCUUAACUAUAGCUUUUGUAAACCCCAUCAAAUUAAACGACUUGUUAUAUUUUGUGGAUGGAUUGUAAUAUUCCUAAUUAGAGCAACCAUGUUAAUGCAAUUUAGAUCAAAAUUAUUAUUA